AUUGAACGCUGGCGGCAUGCCUUACACAUGCAAGUCGAACGGUAACGCGGGGCAACCUGGCGACGAGUGGCGAACGGGUGAGUAAUGCAUCGGAACGUGCCCAGUAGUGGGGGAUAGCACGGCGAAAGCCGGAUUAAUACCGCAUACGACCUACGGGUGAAAGCGGGGGACCGUAAGGCCUCGCGCGAUUGCAGCGGCCGAUGUCAGAUUAGGUUGUUGGUGGGGGAAAGGCCUAGCAAGUCGACGAUCUGUAACUGGUCUGAGAGGACGACCAGCCACACUGGGACUGAGACACGGCCCAGACUCCGACGGGAGGCAGCAGUGGGGAAUUUUGGACAAUGGGGGCAACCCUGAUCCAGCCAUGCCGCGUGCGGGAAGAAGGCCUUCGGGUUGUAAACCGCUUUUGUCAGGGAAGAAACGCUCUGGGCUAAUACCCUGGGGUAAUGACGGUACCUGAAGAAUAAGCACCGGCUAACUACGUGCCAGCAGCCGCCGUAA
rnacentral:rRNA from 1 species